AUGCAUCUCUGACAGACGUGGAGCAGUUAAUAUCGGCUGCUAAGGUUUUCACUACAGAUGCAAGAAAACAAAGGUCCUCGUGCUUUCUGUCUGGUGGUGGCAGCCAAUACUGAAUGGGGGAAUAUAGGA
rnacentral:snoRNA from 1 species